rnacentral:lncRNA from 1 species
CAAUUAUGUGACCAAUUUGUGAUUUGACAGUCAAUCAAAGCAAACUAGAUCGGUUUUUGAAAAGGAAAUCGCCUCCACCCAAUGAUAACGAGAAUAAUGAUGGAAAUAUUUCAAGGACAAGAAGAGACGACACCAAAUCCUACUAGUCAUCGUUUCUUCACGGAUAUCACGACAAGAGGUAAAUUUUGAUGAGCUUCCAUAUGAUCUAGCCGAUAGAAGGAGAAUAUCAGAUUACAUAGGUGAUCAGCUACAAAAUGAUGUAAGGAGAAAGUAUUUGACAAAGGGUCCUUGUAAGCCACCACCUGGUUUUAACUUUCCACAAACAAUAGCCGGGGCUCCACGCCGCUGUCAACAUGAAUGGUUCAAUAUGUAUGAUUGGCUAGAGUAUAGUGAAAAGUUGGAUAAGUGUUUUUGUUUAUAUUGCUACCUAUUCAGAGAUUGCAACAAGGGUCAAGGUGGGAAUGAUGCAUUUGUAAUAGAUGGUUGGGAUGGGUGGAACAAAUCUGAUAGGCUUAGAGAUCAUGUAGGCAAGAGAUGUGACAGUUUCCAUAAUACAGCUGUGAAAAGAUGUGACAAUUUAUUGAAGCCUGGCCAAUCAAUUGGUGAAGCCAUAAACAAGCAGAGUAAUAUCACUAAAGAGAACCUUUUGAUUCGAUUGAAGACAGCCAUCAAAGCUGUCCGAUACUUGUUGCAUCAAGGCUUAGCUUUUCGUGGGCUUGAUGAAUCAGAGAAAUCUACCAAUAAGGGAAACUAUCGAGAGUUAGUAGAUCUUUUGGCUGAGGAAAAUGACAAAGUAAAAAAAGCAUUUGUUAAUGACAAAGUAGAUCUUUUGUGCAACUGGUUAUGUGUAACGAGACACAGGAUAGUUUAGCACUUUGGGUCAACUACUUGUAUUGAUCUAAUAUAGCUUCUUAUUAUUAAAAAUGUGUCUCGUUACACAUAACCAGUUGCACAAAACUCAUAUGCUUGCAUAAUUUUAAUCUAUCUUUGUAUGAAUUGCCUUUCACUUUAUGUAAAGCAUUAACUACUUCAAUCACCUCUUCCACGCUGAACCGAAGUUAGGAUAGUUGUCCCUUCUUGUGGACUAGAAGAUGUACCACCAUGUUGCUCUCACACUGCAGGAAGUGAUGCCUGUUACAAAUCAAUCUUGAAAAACGGGGAUCAGAUUAUCUACUUGCGUUGAUGCCCCAUAGAUAAUAUACUUUUGAUGACUGUAGCAAGUGAUUUUUUCCUCACACAAACCAUCGGAUGGAGAGAAAACUCAUGCUACUUUAUUGCGUAUGGCUUCGAUGUUUUAUUUUUUGUACACUAUAGCUCUCAUGGACCGAUGCUUGUUUGCUCGAUGUAGAGUCCA